rnacentral:rRNA from 1 species
GCGGAAGAUGUAACGGGGCUAAACCAUGCACCGAAGCUGCGGCAGCGACACUGUGUGUUGUUGGGUAGGGGAGCGUUCUGUAAGCCUGUGAAGGUGUGCUGUGAGGCAUGCUGGAGGUAUCAGAAGUGCGAAUGCUGACAUAAGUAACGAUAAAGCGGGUGAAAAGCCCGCUCGCCGGAAGACCAAGGGUUCCUGUCCAACGUUAAUCGGGGCAGGGUGAGUCGACCCCUAAGGCGAGGCCGAAAGGCGUAGUCGAUGGGAAACAGGUUAAUAUUCCUGUACUUGGUGUUACUGCGAAGGGGGGACGGAGAAGGCUAUGUUGGCCGGGCGACGGUUGUCCCGGUUUAAGCGUGUAGGCUGGUUUUCCAGGCAAAUCCGGAAAAUCAAGGCUGAGGCGUGAUGACGAGGCACUACGGUGCUGAAGCAACAAAUGCCCUGCUUCCAGGAAAAGCCUCUAAGCAUCAGGUAACAUCAAAUCGUACCCCAAACCGACACAGGUGGUCAGGUAGAGAAUACCAAGGCGCUUGAGAGAACUCGGGUGAAGGAACUAGGCAAAAUGGUGCCGUAACUUCGGGAGAAGGCACGCUGAUAUGUAGGUGAAGUCCCUCGCGGAUGGAGCUGAAAUCAGUCGAAGAUACCAGCUGGCUGCAACUGUUUAUUAAAAACACAGCACUGUGCAAACACGAAAGUGGACGUAUACGGUGUGACGCCUGCCCGGUGCCGGAAGGUUAAUUGAUGGGGUCAGCGCAAGCGAAGCUCUUGAUCGAAGCCCCGGUAAACGGCGGCCGUAACUAUAACGGUCCUAAGGUAGCGAAAUUCCUUGUCGGGUAAGUUCCGACCUGCACGAAUGGCGUAAUGAUGGCCAGGCUGUCUCCACCCGAGACUCAGUGAAAUUGAACUCGCUGUGAAGAUGCAGUGUACCCGCGGCAAGACGGAAAGACCCCGUGAACCUUUACUAUAGCUUGACACUGAACAUUGAGCCUUGAUGUGUAGGAUAGGUGGGAGGCUUUGAAGUGUGGACGCCAGUCUGCAUGGAGCCGACCUUGAAAUACCACCCUUUAAUGUUUGAUGUUCUAACGUGGACCCGUGAUCCGGGUUGCGGACAGUGUCUGGUGGGUAGUUUGACUGGGGCGGUCUCCUCCUAAAGAGUAACGGAGGAGCACGAAGGUUGGCUAAUCCUGGUCGGACAUCAGGAGGUUAGUGCAAUGGCAUAAGCCAGCUUGACUGCGAGCGUGACGGCGCGAGCAGGUGCGAAAGCAGGUCAUAGUGAUCCGGUGGUUCUGAAUGGAAGGGCCAUCGCUCAACGGAUAAAAGGUACUCCGGGGAUAACAGGCUGAUACCGCCCAAGAGUUCAUAUCGACGGCGGUGUUUGGCACCUCGAUGUCGGCUCAUCACAUCCUGGGGCUGAAGUAGGUCCCAAGGGUAUGGCUGUUCGCCAUUUAAAGUGGUACGCGAGCUGGGUUUAGAACGUCGUGAGACAGUUCGGUCCCUAUCUGCCGUGGGCGCUGGAGAACUGAGGGGGGCUGCUCCUAGUACGAGAGGACCGGAGUGGACGCAUCACUGGUGUUCGGGUUGUCAUGCCAAUGGCACUGCCCGGUAGCUAAAUGCGGAAGAGAUAAGUGCUGAAAGCAUCUAAGCACGAAACUUGCCCCGAGAUGAGUUCUCCCUGACCCUUUAAGGGUCCUGAAGGAACGUUGAAGACGACGACGUUGAUAGGCCGGGUGUGUAAGCGCAGCGAUGCGUUGAGCUAACCGGUACUAAUGAACCGUGAGGCUUAACCUU